GACAGAGGUCCCGAGCGUUAGGCGGAAUCACUGGGCUUAAAGCGUGUGUAGGCGGAUUUGUAAGUACCUUGUGAAAUCCCACAGCUCAACUGUGGAACUGCUUGGUAUACUGCUUAUCUUGGGCCAUCUAGGGGCUACCGGAACAAGUGGUGGAGCGGUGAAAUGCGUAGAUAUCACUUGGAACGCCAAUGGUGAAAACAGGUAGCUGGGGAUGUGCCGACGCUGAGACACGAAAGCCAGGGGAGCAAACGGG
rnacentral:rRNA from 1 species